rnacentral:rRNA from 1 species
GGGGUGAACCUGGGAGGGGGAACCACUGGAAACGGUCGCUAAUACCCGAUGUGCCGAAAGGUGAAAGGAUUAAUUGCCUGAGGAUGAGCUCGCGUCUGAUUAGCUAGUUGGAGGGGUAAAGGCCCACCAAGGCGACGAUCAGUAGCUGGUCUGAGAGGAUGAUCAGCCACACUGGGACUGAGACACGGCCCAGACUCCUACGGGAGGCAGCAGUGGGGAAUUUUCCGCAAUGGGCGAAAGCCUGACGGAGCAAGACCGCGUGAGGGAAGACGGCCUACUGGUUGUAAACCUCUUUUGAUAGGGAAGAACACAAUGACGGUACCUAUCGAAUCAACCUCGGCUAACUCCGUGCCAACAGCCGCGGUAAUACGGAGGAGGCAAGCGUUAUCCGGAAUUAUUGGGCGUAAAGCGUCCGUAGGUGGAUAUUCAAGUCAGUUGUUAAAGCGUGGAGCUUAACUCCAUAAAGGCAAUUGAAACUGAAUGUCUAGAGUGCGAUAGGGGCAAGGGGAAUUCCCAGUGUAGCGGUGAAAUGCGUAGAUAUUGGGAAGAACAUCGGUGGCGAAAGCGCCUUGCUGGGUCUGCACUGACACUGAGGGACGAAAGCUAGGGGAGCGAAUGGGAUUAGAUACCCCCAGUAGUCAUGAU